AAACUUUAUAAUUUUUUAUAUUUAAAAAGGGGUAUUUUUGAAAAUGGAUAGAUAAAUGGGGUAUUUUUAAAAAGGGGUACACCUAAAGGGGUAUUUUUCAAAAAUUCUCAAAAAAAUAUAGUGUAAUAUAUAAUUGGUCAAAAAUAUUAUUAACAUCUCUUUAUUUUUUGCAUAAAAAAUUGAAAAUAGCACUUAAAAUAAAACAAAUAAUUAAAAUAAAACCAACUAAUAAAAAAAUAGUGUAAUAUAUGAUUGGUCAAAAAAUUAUUAUAAACAUCUCUUUAUUUUUGGCAUAAAAAUUUGAAAAUAGUACUUAAAAUAAAAUAAUUUUUUUUGGC
rnacentral:lncRNA from 1 species